UACGUAGGGGGCAAGCGUUGUCCGGAAUCAUUGGGCGUAAAGAGCGUGUAGGCGGCCAGAUAGGUCCGUUGUGAAAACUGGAGGCUUAACCUCCAGCGGUCGAUGGAAACCAUUUGGCUAGAGUCCGGAAGGGGAGAGUGGAAUUCCUGGUGUAGCGGUGAAAUGCGCAGAUAUCAGGAAGAACACCCGUGGCGAAGGCGGCUCUCUGGGACGGUACUGACGCUGAGACGCGAAAGCGUGGGGAGCGAACAGG
rnacentral:rRNA from 1 species